AUAAGACUAAAAAAUAUAAAAUAUAAAAGAAUAAAUCCGUGGUGAAGCACUUAACUAAGUGUAAAAAAUAUAUAGAUAUGUGAAUUUGUUUUGUAAUAUAAUUUCUCAAACUCACUUAAAGCCAAUUCUAAAUCAAUAUGCUUGAAAACAUGUACCAUUUUUUUAAACUUAGAUGUGCGUCAAAUUCUCAAUCUUAUCCUCAAUAAGGAUGACAUAUACAAUACACCUCAGCUAAGACUUUUUUAAACUUCUUCUAUUUUAGUUAUGCUGGCUUUUCCAUUCUAUUUGUCUUGUAUUACUAACUUAAUAUGAACAACUUCACACAACUUGGUAAUGAUCGUAAUAAGAUUGGUCAACUAUAUUGACAUCAAUCAUUUUUGAAAAAUUCAGAAAUGGAAAGUUCAUUAACAAAUAGCAUUCUAUGCUUGGGAGCGAAAGAGAAAAGUAUAAGCGUAACUGUAACAGUAAAAAAAAAAAGAACUAGAAGUGUUGGCUUCAAAUAUCAUUUGAUAGCCUCUUUGUGCUUGAAAGGUCAAAAAACUUUGAAAACAAUAUUAACUACAAAUGUGGACAUGAGCUGAAAUUGAACUCACUUCAAUGUUUAAGAGACCAUUUAGCCCAUCUUCCAAUGAUCCUAAUAAGCAAGCAUCCUGAUGAUAAAGCAGAUUGCAACCAGAACACACCAAUGGCAGUGGCACCAUUAAUUUAUUGAAAGAAGCAACAAAAGUAAAUAGACUAAAAACUAUAUACACCCAAAAUA
rnacentral:misc_RNA from 1 species